CGAUUUUUAAAAUUCAAAAUUCCCUAAAUAUAGCCCGAGCUCGAUCCCUAUUCUCGGCCAUCUUCUCCUCUUCACAACCUGGCGGCAGCGCAGCUCUUCCGUCUGGUUUGUAUUUGACGUGACUUGGAGAAACGCUCAUCUUUGAUUUGCUUUGUUAGAAUUUAUAGAGUUGGUCGUACGCCUUCUUCUUCAUCGCAAGCCACCGAAAUCCAUAACUUCACUGAAGAGGCUAGUUAGUUGAAGGGCAUUUUAUCUAAAAGAGAUCAAGAAAUAAGAGAAAUGCGCCGACAACAAGAUUUGAUUUUGCAACAUUGUCCUCCCGAUGACAGCGAUGAUAGUGAUGAUGAUGAUGAUGAUGAUGAUGAUGAUGGCGGUGGUGGUGCUUCUUCUUAAAUUACAUAAAUGAACGAAAAAAAGACGAACGAAGCACCCUGAGGCAUGACGAUAUGUAUCUUUUGUUUUCACUUGUUAGAUUUGUUGUAUAGUUAUUUAUUAUGAGUUCUUGAAGUUUGGUAUGUUUGAGUUGAACUUGUUUGGAUGUUGUAGUUGUGUAUGAAUUUGAAAUGUUUAGUUGACGAUAUGUCUGUUGUAUGAAUUUGAUUUGUUGGAUUCGCAAAUUUGGUGAAGGAUGGUGUAUGAUUGUAAAAAGUUGAA